UACGUAGGGACCGAGCGUUGUCCGGAUUCAUUGGGCGUAAAGGGCGCGUAGGCGGCCGCCUAAGUCAGGGGUGAAAUCCCAGGGCUCAACCCUGGAACUGCCUCUGAUACUGGCAAUCUGGAGAUCGGGAGAGGUUGGUGGAAUUCCGAGUGUAGAGGUGAAAUUCGUAGAUAUUCGGAGGAACACCAGAAGCGAAGGCGGCCAACUGGCCCGAUACUGACGCUGAGCGCGAAAGCGUGGGGAGCAAACAGG
rnacentral:rRNA from 1 species